UACGGGGGGGGCAAGCGUUGUUCGGAAUUACUGGGCGUAAAGGGCUCGUAGGCGGCCAACUAAGUCAUACGUGAAAUCCCUCGGCUUAACCGGGGAACUGCGUCUGAUACUGGAUGGCUUGAGUUCGGGAGAGGGAUGCGGAAUUCCAGGUGUAGCGGUGAAAUGCGUAGAUAUCUGGAGGAACACCGGUGGCGAAGGCGGCAUCCUGGACCGAAACUGACGCUGAGGAACGAAAGCCAGGGGAGCAAACGGG
rnacentral:rRNA from 1 species